GAUGAACGCUGGCGGCGUGCCUAAUACAUGCAAGUCGAGCGAACGGACGAGAAGCUUGCUUCUCUGAUGUUAGCGGCGGACGGGUGAGUAACACGUGGAUAACCUACCUAUAAGGCUGGGAUAACUUCGGGAAACCGGAGCUAAUACCGGAUAAUAUUUUGAACCGCAUGGUUCAAAAGUGAAAGACGGUCUUGCAGUCACUUAUAGAUGGAUCCGCGCUGCAUUAGCUAGUUGGUAAGGUAACGGCUUACCAAGGCAACGAUGCAUAGCCGACCUGAGAGGAUGAUCGGCCACACUGGAACUGAGACACGGUCCAGACUCCUACGGGAGGCAGCAGUAGGGAAUCUUCCGCAAUGGGCGAAAGCCUGACGGAGCAACGCCGCGUGAGUGAUGAAGGUCUUCGGAUCGUAAAACUCUGUUAUUAGGGAAGAACAUAUGUGUAAGUAACUGUGCACAUCUUGACGGUACCUAAUCAGAAAGCCACGGCUAACUACGUG
rnacentral:rRNA from 1 species